GCUUAAUAUAACUAUGGCCAGGCAUGGUGGCAUCCUAGCACCUCAGGAAGCUGGGAUAGGAGGAUCACUUGAGCCUAGGUGUUCUGGGCUAUAGUAUGCUAUGCUAAUAGGGUGUCUGCGUUAAGUUCAGCAUCAAUUUGGUGACUUCUUGGGAGUCGGGACCACCAGGUUGCCUAAGGUGGAGUGAACUGGCCCAGGUUGGAAAUGUGCUGAUUGGUAGUGGGAUCAUGCCUGUGAAUAGUCACUGCAGCCCAGCCUGGGCAACGGUGAAACUUCAUCUCU
ensembl:misc_RNA Metazoa_SRP Metazoan signal recognition particle RNA